rnacentral:rRNA from 1 species
GACGAACGCUGGCGGCGUGCUUAACACAUGCAAGUCGAACGAUGAACCCGGAGCUUGCUCCGGUGGAUUAGUGGCGAACGGGUGAGUAACACGUGAGUAACCUGCCCUUGACUCUGGGAUAACUGAGGGAAACUGUAGCUAAUACCGGAUACGACCCUCGGCGGCAUCGCCAGGGGGUGGAAAGAAUUUCGGUCAAGGAUGGACUCGCGGCCUAUCAGCUAGUUGGUGAGGUAACGGCUCACCAAGGCGACGACGGGCAGCCGGCCUGGGAGGGGGGCCGGGCACCCGGGGACUGAGACACGGACCGGACUCCUACGGGAGGCAGCAGGGGGGAAUAUUGCAGAAUGGGCGCAAGCCUGAGGCAGCAACACCGCGUGAGGGAUGACGGCCUGCGGGUUGUAAACCUCUUUUAGUAGGGAAGAAGCGAAAGUGACGGUACCUGCAGAAAAAGCACCGGCUAACUACGUGCCAGCCGCCGCCGUAA